CCUACGGGUGGCAGCAGUGGGGAAUAUUGGACAAUGGGGGGAACCCUGAUCCAGCCAUGCCGCGUGUGUGAAGAAGGCCCUCGGGUUGUAAAGCACUUUCAGUGGGGAAGAACGCCUGGUGGUUAAUACCCAUCAGGAAAGACAUCACUCACAGAAGAAGCACCGGCUAACUCCGUGCCAGCAGCCGCGGUAAUACGGAGGGUGCGAGCGUUAAUCGGAAUUACUGGGCGUAAAGCGCGCGUAGGUGGCGUGAUAAGCCGGUUGUGAAAGCCCCGGGCUCAACCUGGGAACGGCAUCCGGAACUGUCAAGCUAGAGUGCAGGAGAGGAAAGCGGAAUUCCCGGUGUAGCGGUGAAAUGCGUAGAGAUCGGGAGGAAUACCAGUGGCGAAGGCGGCCUUCUGGACUGACACUGACGCUGAGGUGCGAAAGCGUGGGGAGCAAACAGGAUUAGAUACCCUAGUAGUC
rnacentral:rRNA from 1 species